rnacentral:rRNA from 1 species
UGGGGAAUAUUGGACAAUGGGCGCAAGCCUGAUCCAGCCAUGCCGCGUGAGUGACGAAGGCCUUAGGGUUGUAAAGCUCUUUUUGGCGGGGAAGAUAAUGACGGUACCCGCAGAAUAAGCUCCGGCUAACUUCGUGCCAGCAGCCGCGGUAAUACGAAGGGAGCUAGCGUUGUUCGGAAUCACUGGGCGUAAAGCGCACGUAGGUGGGCAGUUAAGUCAGGGGUGAAAGCCCGAGGCUCAACCUCGGAAUUGCCUCUGAUACUGGCUGUCUAGAGUUCGAGAGAGGUGAGUGGAAUUCCUAGUGUAGAGGUGAAAUUCGUAGAUAUUGGGAAGAACACCAGUGGCGAAGGCGGCUCUCUGGUCCGGUACUGACACUUUAGUGCGAAAGCGUGGGGAGCAAACAGGAUUAGAUACCCUUGUAGUCCCUGAGCGGGCUGGCAAGGCGCAU